UAUCCGGAAUAAAGUCAGAGCUCUCUUCCAUAUUGGUUUCAGAAGCGAGAGGGCUUUCCAGAUCCACACGGAUCAGAAAUCCAUUGAAAUCGGGGACUACUAGAGCGAUCUAGUUUUCUCUAAACCUCAAUAAUGAGAGCAAAGUGGCGUAAAAAGAGGAUGCGGAGGCUAAAGCGAAAGAGGAGGAAGAUGCGUGCGAGGUCCAAGUAGAUACCAUCUCUUCUGUAAGGGAAUCAUUUCGCAAGGAGCUUUUUCCAAAAUUAUCGUCUGAUAAGCAAAAUGGACAGCCUUCGAUUCCCUGCGUACUGAAACACCAUUUGUAUGAAAACGAAAUAUUUUACAGAAGAACUUGUUCAAUUUAAUAAAUUGACCGUGGAAAAUAAA